ensembl:lncRNA
CUCGCGCCGAUGUUCGUCGGUAAACCAGACCUUUUAUCUGUACCCGUGUCCGACGCACGCGGGUCAGAGAGAUCGCUCCGGCUGAAGGUCGCGCCGUGAUGACGUCGCACGCCACGUCUCGGCUCGGAGAUUUCGGAAAACCGCACGCGCCUCCGGACGUCUUGUGUUCGUUUCCGCGACGGAGUUCUCUCAUACCCGCGUGCAUCCUGUUUCUCCUCUCUCAUUCAUCUCCUCUUCUGCUGACGACUUUAACGCCUGUGCAACCUCAUUUUCCUCUUUUCUUUUUUAAUCUCUCCUGUUCCGAUUCCUUCUCCUCAGAUCAUAAUCUCUCGGCGUUUCAUACACCGCUCUUCCACGUCCAUCUUUAUCUUCUCCAUCCGUCCUUCACUUUUUUCCUUCUUUCUUUUGUCAGUGUGUAAUUAAGUGAUGUUCCUGGAUAAUGAGUGUUACUGAAUCUCUCUCUCUCUCUCUCUCUCUCUCUCUCUCUCUCUCUCCUCUCUCUCUAGGUGGAGAUAAGUGUUUCGUGUUUUCCCAUGAGGCCGUGUGUGUGUGUGUGUGCGUGUGUGUGUGUGUGUGUGUGUGUGAGAUCAGUGCUGUACAUUGCGUCUCGUCCCUCUGCUUAAUUUAUGCGUUUCGUCUCUCAUCCUUUUUAACAUCUUUAACCAUUAAAGGGAAACGUUUCAAUCGUCUUUAACGCUCGUAGCCGUGACGCUUUUUUUUUUUUUUUUUUUUCUUCCUCCUCCUUCACGGUUUAUCUCCCGCGCCUUGUUUUUGUUUUUAAGUUUCGAAUUGUGUUUUCUCUGUCCCAUGUCCUCGUGGACAGUUUUACAGCAGAGGGACAUCUCGGCUGUCGGGGUUGUUGUGCCUUGCCGUGUUUUUUUUGCUCACUCAUGUGCAGUGUGUUUUGGGUCCCCCCCCCCUUUAAGAAAAUGUUAUAACGUGUAAAUAAAACUCUUAGUGGGUCAGAGGGGGCGGAGCUUCGUGUCCACUCGAUCAGCUGAUCACAAACUUGAUGUUUUGUAUAUGACGUCAUUUUUUUUUUUUGGCUUUGUUUGUUUUACUCGUUUCCUUAUCCCUUAGCUUAGUUUAACUCUGCUGACGUUUCCUCUCCAGUUGCGAUCCGAUCGUAAGUAGUUAGCUAGCAUUAUAGAGUAUAGCAGCUUAGCAUUAUUAGCUGAGCUAGUCAGCUACCUGAUCACAAUCUAACGAUUUAGCAGCGUUACUUAAUCUAGUCGCGUACCUGAACGGCACAGUGCGCUAAUCCAUUUAGCAAGCUAAACUGCCAUUGUACAAAACACCGUUUUUUUAGUUACGGAGUGUAAUAGUUUAGCAGUACGCUAGCUAACACCGUGAAGGGUCAACGUUAGCCGAUUAGCUAGCUAGGCUAACGUUGGAGGUACCUCUCCAGGAUCUAGCUAGCAACAUUUGGUAUUAUGCUAGCUGUGAUGAGGUGGUACGAUCUCAUCAGUGAACGGGGGAUUAUAUUUUACUUAAGCUCCGCCCAUUUUGACCCAUGGACGCCUGUAAUCCACAUUUUGUGUGUGUGUGUGUGUGUGAAAGAGAAAGAGCGCUCUGUUCGGGGCUGAAUGUUGAUCCCGUGCUCAAUCUCCUCGGCAACAAGAGGAUGCUUUGGAUGGAUUGGCUGUGCUUUUGGAUGAUUGAUGAGAGAUUUGGGGUUUGUUUGCGUGUGUGUGUGUGUGUGUGUCCAGAAGCAUCGGCUAGCCGCCAUCUCUAACUCGCCAGUGAGGAUCUGUUUUAAAGUUUUAACAAACGCCUGUGUUCAGUAAUUCAUGAUGUGUUCUCUCUCUCUCUCUCUCUCUCUCUCUCUCUCCUCUCUCUCUCUCUCUCUCUCUCCCCAUCUGUCCGUGGGAACAUUUGUACACUCAUGACCCUUAUUUUGCUAAUAAAAAAUAUUUGCAAUCCACUUUGUCCUCCGUUGCCAUUUAUACUUGCUUUCUGAAUGGGUGGGGCCUAAUAUUCUAAUGAGCAGGUUUGAUUGACAACUCUCUAAGACUCCCAGUCCAGUUAAAUAUUGGCAAAAUAUGCUGUUUA